GACACCUAGUGAAAAUGGAAGACAGGAAUUUCAAGGCUGGAACUCAUACAGACUCAUCAGGACCACUGACACUGGACAGGACUGGAGACAAGCACACCAGAGGCAACUGGGGCUACCUGGACCAAAUGGCCAUCCUACUCUGGGUCCAGCAGAAUAUCACCCACUUU